UAAACGACUCUCGGCAACGGAUAUCUCGGCUCUCGCAUCGAUGAAGAACGUAGCGAAAUGCGAUACUUGGUGUGAAUUGCAGAAUCCCGUGAACCAUCGAGUCUUUGAACGCAAGUUGCGCCCGAAGCCUCCUGGCCGANGGCACGCCUGCCUAGGCGUCACGCA
rnacentral:rRNA from 1 species